rnacentral:rRNA from 1 species
AAUUUUGGACAAUGGGGGAAACCCUGAUCCAGCCAUCCCGCGUGCAUGAUGACGGCCCUCGGGUUGUUAAGUACUUUUGGCAGAGAAGAAAAGGUAUCUCCUAAUACGAGAUACUGCUGACGGUAUCUGCAGAAUAAGCCUCGGCUCACGACGUGCCACCAGCCGCGGUAAUACGUAGGGUGCAAGCGUUAAUCGGUAUUACUGGGCGUAAAGCGUGUGUAGGCGGUUCGGAAAGAAAGAUGUGAAAUCCCAGGGCUCAACCUUGGAACUGCAUUUUUAACUGCCGAGCUAGAGUAUGUCAGAGGGGGGUAGAAUUCCACGUGUAGCAGUGAAAUGCGUAGAUAUGUGGAGGAAUACCGAUGGCGAAGGCAGCCCCCUGGGAUAAUACUGACGCUCAGACACGAAAGCGUGGGGAGCAAACA